rnacentral:rRNA from 1 species
GCGAAGGGCUCAUUAUAUCAGUUAUAGUUUAUUUGAUAGUCCCUUACUACAUGGAUACCCGUAGUAAUUCUAGGGCUAAUACAUGCAUCGACUCCCAACUGCUUCGGCGGGCGGGACGUAUUUAUUAGAUUGAAACCAAUGCGGGGGAGACCCCGGUAUUGUGGUGAGUCAUGAUAACUUCACGAAUCGCAUGGCCUUGCGCCGGCGAUGUUUCAUUCAAAUUUCUGCCCUAUCAACUUUUGAUGGUAGGAUAGAGGCCUACCAUGGUGGUAACGGGUGACGGAGAAUUAGGGUUCGAUUCCGGAGAGGGAGCCUGAGAAACGGCUACCACAUCCAAGGAAGGCAGCAGGCGCGCAAAUUACCCAAUCCUGAUACAGGGAGGUAGUGACAAUAAAUAACAAUACCGGGCCUUUGGUCUGGUAAUUGGAAUGAGUACAACCUAAACACCUUAACGAGGAUCAAUU